rnacentral:rRNA from 1 species
UGAUCCUGCCGGACCCGACCGCUAUCGGGGUAGGGCUAAGCCAUGCGAGUCGCGCGCCCGGGGGCGCCCGGGAGCGGCGCACGGCUCAGUAACACGUGCCCAACCUACCCUCGGGAGGGGGACACCCCCGGGAAACUGGGGCCAAUCCCCCAUAGGGGAAGGGCGCUGGAAGGCCCCCUCCCCGAAAGGACGGCGGCCGAUCCGCCGCCGCCCGCCCGAGGAUGGGGGCACGGCCCAUCAGGUAGUUG